AUGCAGCCCCAUGAAAUGGGUGAGGUUUUUAGUAACUUCCCCACUGUGUGUGUGUGUGUGUGUGUGGAGAAAGGGCACUGGGAUCCGCCCAACUCAGCCACUCUCACUUUCAGGGGCAGCAUCUCUGAGUCCCGACUGCUCCACCUUCUUCUAACCCUUCCUCAAUGGAACCUCCUUUUCCAGCUUUGGGGCGAUGGCUUUUUCUCUCCUCCUCCAUCAGCCCCAGAGCAACACCCCUCUUCUCUGGGAAACAUCCCUCCACCCGCUCUUCACGGAGGACAACAUUCCUGUGUGCCAACCUCUCGGGAAAGCCUCUCUCGGCCCCGCCCCACGCCACACCCUCCAAGCGCCGUCCCGGUUCCCCUCGCUGCUCACUCUCCAACCCGGAAGCGGAGCCCACAGGAGACAUCAGGGUCAGGGCUGGGGAACAAAGUUCCGCCGAGGCUUCAUUGUACCCAGCACGCAGGUGCACGCGCUCCACAUCUGCGCACUGCUGUGCGAGCGAGAUCGACGCAUGCGCAGGAGAGGGUAGGCGGUCGCUGGCUGAUCCUUCGGUCAGGCCCAGUUCAGAGCGGCUCCUCCCUCUCCCGGGUGCCAGCCCCCCCUUCCCCUCCCCGGCAGCGCUGCUGCUGCUACUACACCGGGUCAGAAGAAAGUUUUCGUUGUCGGCGGCCGCCUGAGAACGACACUGAGCGGGAGGCAUCCGGGCCCGGCCUCCAGGCCUCUCCCGUAGCCGGAGCAGGGCCAGCCCCGCUGGGCUAGCGGAGACCUUGCUCCUCAGGAGAGAGCGACAAACGGCAUCCCGAUGCGCAGCCACCUGCGGAGACCCUGAGCGGAGCAGAUCCCUCCCCCUUUGGCCGGGCGGCGGGACACCUCAGGGGGGGAUCUCCCGGAGACUUACUGGUAGCUAGCCCCCGUGAGAAACAUCCCCUGCCCUCCUAAGGCAACCCGCCUCACUGAGACAUCCACGCCCCGCCAAUCUGAGGGGCGAUCCCUCCUUCUGUCAGCCCAACCUUCGUGAGCUCCUGCAAGCCCCCUGUCUGCCACCUCUCCUCCGAGUUGAGGAGGCCCUCGCCCCUUCAGUUCGUCCUGGAAGACCAUUCCUCUUAGUUUCUCCCCGGGUAGCGAAGAGUUUGAAGCCCUUCUCCACCCUUUAUCAAAUUCCUUACCUGAGUGGCCUAUUGAAACUCCUAGCCUCAGGUCAGUUUUUUCUGGUGUAGGGGAAGAGACCAGUGUAGCUUUGCUACCUCUAGUCGAGGACCACCCACUCUACUUUAUCUUACUGCCUGACGAAGAUGAAAUGUGGACUGUCAUGUGGAUCAACUAAACGGACUGUCUUUUGUGGAGCGAAUGCUUCAUACGCGUUCUCCAACUCUUGAUCUGGGCUGUGAGGCUGCCUGGACGCUAAACCUUUUUUAUUCCUUGCCCCCCGCCCCCUAAAUCUUUCCUUGCUUUCCUGCUGCAUUGGUCAAAAUUUUGGUAAGUGCUGUUUACGGAAGGAAAAAAAGAAGGCAGUCUGAAUCCCCAACACAAGUAUUUGUGUGUGACUCAUCUUCUUGGAUUUAAAGACAUCUCCACCUUCAGGGAGUCUUGCUUCUCUUCUGUGAAGUCAGAUGUUUGUUCCUGUUCUUCCUGAUGAGCAUGGAUUGAAAGUUGCACCUUCUAGAUUUUUUCCAGGGUGCUGCUGAUACUAUUAAAGGACAUAAUGGGGCUUUUUCACUGGAUUAUUGCCAGGAUCAGUUUACACACUGCAACAAUGAGU
ensembl:lncRNA